rnacentral:rRNA from 1 species
CGGAGGGUGCAAGCGUUAUCCGGAUUCACUGGGUUUAAAGGGUGCGUAGGUGGGUUGGUAAGUCAGUGGUGGAAUCUCCGUGCUUAACAUGGAAACUGCCAUUGAUACUACUAGUCUUGAAUUUUCAGGAGGUAAGCGGAAUAUGUCAUGUAGCGGUGAAAUGCUUAGAUAUGACAUAGAACACCAAUUGCGAAGGCAGCUUGCUACAGGGAUAUUGACACUGAGGCACGAAAGCGUGGGGAUCAAACAGGAUUAGAUACCCUGGUAGUCCACGCCCUAAACGAUGGAUACUCGACAUUUGCGAUACACAGUAAGUGCCUGAGCGAAAGCAUUAAGUAUCCCACCUGGGAAGUACGACCGCAAGGUUG